UAGGGAAUCUUCGGCAAUGGGGGCAACCCUGACCGAGCAACGCCGCGUGAGUGAAGAAGGUUUUCGGAUCGUAAAGCUCUGUUGUAAGAGAAGAACGAGUGUGAGAGUGGAAAGUUCACACUGUGACGGUAACUUACCAGAAAGGGACGGCUAACUACGUGCCAGCAGCCGCGGUAAUACGUAGGUCCCGAGCGUUAUCCGGAUUUAUUGGGCGUAAAGCGAGCGCAGGCGGUUUGAUAAGUCUGAAGUUAAAGGCUGUGGCUCAACCAUAGUUCGCUUUGGAAACUGUCAAACUUGAGUGCAGAAGGGGAGAGUAGAAUUCCAUGUGUAGCGGUGAAAUGCGUAGAUAUAUGGAGGAACACCGGUGGCGAAAGCGGCUCUCUGGUCUGUAACUGACGCUGAGGCUCGAAAGCGUGGGGAGCGAACAGGAUUAGAUACCCUGGUAGUCCACGCCGUAAACGAUGAGUGCUAGGUGUUGGAUCCUUUCCGGGAUUCAGUGCCGCAGCUAACGUAUUAAGCACUCCGCCUGGGGAGUACGACCGCAAGGUUG
rnacentral:rRNA from 1 species